CAAGGCACACAUACACGGGCAUAAUUUCCGAUAGAACGCUCGCGAGUUGAUGUCGAAAUAGUUUUUUUACUCACCCCGACACGACGUUUCGCGACGUUUAUUCAACUCAGUUUCCGUGUAGAUAGUCGUGUGCAGUUUAAAGGCUAUUAUAAUAAAAUGUUAUGUGAAGAAGACCGUAUGUAUAGAAAACUUGGUUCAACGGAAGAUUUAAUUACCACGCUCAAGGAUCAAAGCGGACAAGAGAAGGUAACUUAGUACGGGCGCACAAAAGAAUAAAAAGAAGAAAAUAACGCACUGGUGACUACUACAAGUGCUUUGAAAUAAAACAACUAUUACGAGAACAUAAAAAUAGUAUUCGAUUCCGUUAAAAUAGUUUUAUU
rnacentral:misc_RNA from 1 species